rnacentral:rRNA from 1 species
GACGAACGCUGGCGGCGUGCUUAACACAUGCAAGUCGAACGGGAGUAUUGAAGAAGCUUGCUUUAGAGAUACUUUAGUGGCGGACGGGUGAGUAACGCGUGAGGAGCUGUCCUAUGCAGGGGGACAACAGCUGGAAACGGCUGCUAAUACCCCAUAAGCCGAGAGGUAAAAGGAUCAAUCCGGCAGAGGAGGUACUCGCGUCCUAUCAGCUAGUAGGUGAGGUAACGGCUCACCUAGGCGAAGACGGGUAGCCGGCCUGAGAGGGUGAACGGCCACAUUGGAACUGAGAGACGGUCCAAACUCCUACGGGAGGCAGCAGUGGGGAAUAUUGGGCAAUGGGCGGAAGCCUGACCCAGCAACGCCGCGUGAGGGAAGAAGGUUUUCGGAUUGUAAACCUCUGUUCUUGGGGAAGAGGAGGAGACGGUACCCAAGGAGGAAGCCCCGGCUAACUACGUGCCAGCAGCCGCGGUAAGACGUAGCGUG